AUUUCACUACCAGGCAAAAGCUUGCGUUAGAACUGGACCUUGAACAGUCUAUAGUCCAGAAUUGGUUUCAGAAUCGAAGAUCUAAGUACGGAGUCGAGAGAAGGUCAGACUCUGAGGAGGACUUAGAAGCAGGCCCAGACCAAGAUCACCCUGUAGAGAGUCCAGGUAGACAAUACAGACAGCAUCGUAUCAGCUACACUUCUUCCCAGUUACACACCCUCAUCUCAGCAUUUGAGAGCAACCCUUAUCCCAAUGUGGAUACCAGAGAG